AAAAAAGCAAGGCCCUUUUGCCUAUAGUGAAGUUGGCUAGUAAGUUUUAGGAAAAUUACUUGCAUUAUUAUUGGGUAAACCUCUGUAGUUGUUAGUGACUGAAGGUUCAGUAAAUGAUGCCAGAUGC